UAGCUCAGUUGGUAGAGCAUGGUGUUUGCAACGCCAGGGAAGUGGGUUCGAUUCCCAC
rfam:Salmo salar isolate Sally breed double haploid chromosome ssa14, whole genome shotgun sequence.